rnacentral:rRNA from 1 species
AUACGUAGGUGGCAAGCGUUGUCCGGAUUUAUUGGGCGUAAAGCGAGCGCAGGCGGUUCUUUAAGUCUGAUGUGAAAGCCCCCGGCUCAACCGGGGAGGGUCAUUGGAAACUGGAGAACUUGAGUGCAGAAGAGGAGAGUGGAAUUCCAUGUGUAGCGGUGAAAUGCGUAGAUAUAUGGAGGAACACCAGUGGCGAAGGCGGCUCUCUGGUCUGUAACUGACGCUGAGGCUCGAAAGCGUGGGGAGCAAACAGGAUUAGAUACCCUGGUAGUCCACGCCGUAAACGAUGAGUGCUAAGUGUUGGAGGGUUUCCGCCCUUCAGUGCUGCAGCAAACGCAUUAAGCACUCCGCCUGGGGAGUACGACCGCAAGGUUGAA